rnacentral:rRNA from 1 species
AUUGAACGCUGGCGGCAGGCUUAACACAUGCAAGUCGAACGAGUGGCGGACGGGUGAGUAAUGCUUGGGAAUCUAGCUUAUGGAGGGGGAUAACUACGGGAAACUGUAGCUAAUACCGCGUACCAUAGGAUGAGCCCAAGUGGGAUUAGGUAGUUGGUGAGGUAAAGGCUCACCAAGCCGACGAUCUCUAGCUGGUCUGAGAGGAUGACCAGCCACCCGGGGACGGAGACUCGGCCCAGACUCCUACGGGAGGCAGCAGUGGGGAAUAUUGCGCAAGGGGGGCAACCCGGAAGCAGCCGUGCCGCGUGAAUGAAGAAGGCCUUCGGGUUGUAAAGUACGUGCAGCGGGGAGGCGUUACCCGCAAACGAAGCACCGGCUAACUACGUGCCAGCAGCCGCGGUAAUUC